CUGGCGGCGUGCCUAAUACAUGCAAGUCGAACGGUCCUUUCUAUGGAAGCUUGCUUCCACUGAGAAGAUAGUGGCGAACGGGUGAGUAACACGUGGGUAACCUGCCCAUAAGAGGGGGGAUAACAUCCGGAAACGGGUGCUAAUACCGCAUAGUUUUCUUGAUCGCAUGAUCGGGAAAGGAAAGACGGCCUUUGUGCUGUCGCUUAUGGAUGGACCCGCGGCGUAUUAGUUAGUUGGUGAGGUAACGGCUCACCAAGACGAUGAUACGUAGCCGACCUGAGAGGGUGAUCGGCCACAUUGGGACUGAGACACGGCCCAAACUCCUACGGGAGGCAGCAGUAGGGAAUCUUCCGCAAUGGACGAAAGUCUGACGGAGCAACGCCGCGUGAGUGAAGAAAAGGGUUUUCGGAUCGUAAAACUCUGUUGUCAGAGAAGAACAAGUUGGAGAGUAACUGCUCCAGCCUUGACGGUAUCUGACCAGAAAGCCACGGCUAACUACGUGCCAGCAGCCGC
rnacentral:rRNA from 1 species